rnacentral:rRNA from 1 species
UGGGAAAAGCUCAACUUUAAAAUCUGGCAGCUUCGCUGUCCGAGUUGUAGUCUCGAGAAGUGUUUUCCGCGCUGGAUCGUGUAUGAGUCUGUUGGAAUACAGCGUCAUAGAGGGUGAGAACCCCGUUCAUGACACGACUACCAGUGCUUUGUGAUACACUUUCGAU